rnacentral:rRNA from 1 species
GGCGAACGCUGGCGGCGUGCUUAACACAUGCAAGUCGAACGGAAAGGCCUCUUUCGGGGGGUACUCGAGUGGCGAACGGGUGAGUAACACGUGAGUAACCUGCCCUUGACUUUGGGAUAACUUCAGGAAACUGGGGCUAAUACCGGAUAGGAGCUCCUGCUGCAUGGUGGGGGUUGGAAAGUUUCGGCGGUUGGGGAUGGACUCGCGGCUUAUCAGCUUGUUGGUGGGGUAGUGGCUUACCAAGGCUUUGACGGGUAGCCGGCCUGAGAGGGUGACCGGCCACAUUGGGACUGAGAUACGGCCCAGACUCCUACGGGAGGCAGCAGUGGGGAAUAUUGCACAAUGGGUGGAAGCCUGAUGCAGCAACGCCGUGUGCGGGAGGACGGCCUUCGGGUUGUAAACCGCUUUCGCUCAUGACGAAGCUUUGUGUGACGGUAGUGGGUAAAGAAGCACCGGCUAACUACGUG